rnacentral:rRNA from 1 species
AAAUUGAAGAGUUUGAUCAUGGCUCAGAUUGAACGCUGGCGGCAGGCCUAACACAUGCAAGUCGAACGGUAACAGGAAGCAGCUUGCUGCUUCGCUGACGAGUGGCGGACGGGUGAGUAAUGUCUGGGAAACUGCCUGAUGGAGGGGGAUAACUACUGGAAACGGUGGCUAAUACCGCAUAACGUCGCAAGACCAAAGAGGGGGACCUUCGGGCCUCUUGCCAUCAGAUGUGCCCAGAUGGGAUUAGCUUGUUGGUGAGGUAACGGCUCACCAAGGCGACGAUCCCUAGCUGGUCUGAGAGGAUGACCAGCCACACUGGAACUGAGACACGGUCCAGACUCCUACGGGAGGCAGCAGUGGGGAAUAUUGCACAAUGGGCGCAAGCCUGAUGCAGCCAUGCCGCGUGUAUGAAGAAGGCCUUCGGGUUGUAAAGUACUUUCAGCGGGGAGGAAGGUGUUGCGGUUAAUAACCGCAGCAAUUGACGUUACCCGCAGAAGAAGCACCGGCUAACUCCGUGCCAGCAGCCGCGGUAAUACGGAGGGUGCAAGCGUUAAUCGGAAUUACUGGGCGUAAAGCGCACGCAGGCGGUCUGUCAAGUCGGAUGUGAAAUCCCCGGGCUCAACCUGGGAACUGCAUUCGAAACUGGCAGGCUUGAGUCUU